GGUCGGAGGGAGUGUGGGCUGGGGAUAUCGGUGCUGGUGUCGGGCAAGAGAAGGGGCUGGAGUUAUCGGGAAGGGAGGAGAGCUGAGGGCCCUCCUUCUGGCAGUCUUGGCCGCAGAAGCGCCGUGCCUUGCUGCGGGGGGUGGGAUGGGUUUCUGUAAGGUCACGCCUCCCUCCUGGAGGGCUCAAAAGCAAAUAGUCAAAAACCCAGCCGGUGGGUCCCCUCAAAGUAACGGGGGGAAAGCAGGGAGAAGGCUGUGCCCAUCCAGACUGCGUUGAGUUUCUCGCUCUGACAGAGCAAGUGGUCUAAUGUAUCGGAUACAGCUUGAUUUUUGUGAGGCAUUUGGCACCGUCUCGGGGCAGCCUCCUGACCCCGGUGUGUGCCCAGGGAUUUGCACACCCGCUCCUGGGACUCCCGCGGGCACUCCGGCAGGGCUCCGUCCCUCUUCGGUGGAUGCCUUGGAUGAUGCAAUAGGCAGCACAGAUUACAAAUGAAAUCUGGGACAGGAUUAGGGUGUACUGUUUAAGGGCAGGAAGCUGAACCCAAGACAAGCAGUACCCAAAGUAAAAUACAGAGUAAAACAAACACACAACACUUAAAAAAAAAAAAGAAAUUGAUUUCUUGGGAAAUUGAUUUUUCCAAUGAAUACACUAAUGAUGUAUUAAUAGUAAUGUAAUGGCAGAGUUCCUAUGUGGUUUUUAAAGCCACGGCAUUAUCCCAUGCAGUGCAAGCAUUAUGAUCUUAAAACAACAUAGCUAUCUUUAAAACCAUAAAGCAGUUGAUAAAAAAAGUUAUGCAUGUUCUUUAGUAGCAGUUCAAUUUGGGAAAGAUUCAGUAUGAAUUGUAUUAGGUGAAUCUCAAGCAUUUUUACCCAUGCCAUCUGACUCAGUUAAUGUGAACUGUACAAUCUGCCCUUUGAUUUUCUCUAUAAAUGUUUAGUUUGCCAGCAGCCAUUCACCACUGUAACUAAAACUGCAAGCUACGUGAAAUUUAUUUGUGCAUUAUUUUCCCAGUGAUAGUUUCUUAGUGCUUCGGUCACAAAUAAAAGUCAGAGGUGGCCGUGCUCCAAGUCUGCUGCCAGCUGGCCUAAGGACAGAGAUGACCAUGUGGGGACAUGAGGAGCUCCAAAUACAGCUGGAGGCAGUUCUAAGCAAUGCCUUGUUGCAUAAUAACAAAUUCAGGUGAAUAGUCUGGACCAACUCUGGAGCACCAAAAAAACGUGAUGAAAAGAUAAAGAGGCUUAAAGUAGAAUCAUGUCUAAGAUUCCAUAUGAAAAAAGAUAAUUUCUGAAAGCUGGACUGCCCCUCAUGUCUUUCUUAAUAAAUAUUACUGUAAAGAAUAGAAAACUGCAGCAAGCAACACAGAAAAGUGGAAAAUAACAGAGUCAUGAAUAGGACCUGAUAGAGUCCAAGUCAGACAAAACCCUGACAGAAUACCCAAAGGCUUUUUGCAAUUGUUUUCUGUGCAACAGUUUUACCUUUGCAGGACUUUUAAUAUAUUCAUGAUAAAAAUAAGACAUUAACUGCUUUGCCUAUUGUUUAUUGUUUAGUUUUUUCCAAUUGACCCCAGCUUACAGGUCGGUAAUAGAAAUUCCUGCUAUCUUGUACUGCCUCUGCAAAAGCAGCAGGAAACUGGUGAACACCAUCCACACAACCAGGAUGCCACAGCUUGAUUUGCAGAGCUAUGUUGAGGUGUUAAAGUAAUAUUGUAAAACAAAAGUAGCUCAAACAGGGUAACUUGAGCCUCUGUUUAAAUUACUUGGUUUGGUUUGGGUUUUUCUACGGUGGAAAAUUGCAAGAGUGUUGCAUAAAAAUAUACAAUUUUAAGUCUUCUGGAGAAAACUACAGAUGUGGAGAUGAAAAGCCAGCAACAAGUCAUUGAAGAGUAUUUUUAAUUGUGUAGUCCAACAGCCAGAUUUGUAAAUUCCUGACACACACAGCAUGUGUCUGUCAAUAAAGAACUGUUCAUCUGGCUUUUUUCAGUCUCUGAUGAAAAGAUCUGAAUUAUCAGAAAUAAUCAAGUAAUUAUAGGAAAAAAUAUGUCUCUAACUGCUGUUGUUACUUUUUAUAGAAGUUCUAGACUUUAAUCCAUAAAAAGGAAGGAAGAGCAACACUUAAAAAGGAAAACCAGUAUACUUAGCCAUCUUCAGAAUUUGAGGAGGAACAUCAAUUUUGAGUAACUUCACUAGCCUACAGAGUGUAUUUUUGUCUUACUAUGCUUCUCAGUUCAUUGAGUGUUGAAGAAUUACAAAUUGACUGUGCUCUAAAUGUGUGUACUCAUUUAAGUUAGGGAAGAUAAAUCUAGGCUAUAGGGAGGGCAUUACCCCAUUAGGCAGCUUUCUAGUGACCUAUUAAUCUUAUCUAUGCAUCCAUUGUAGUCUGCACCAGACUUAGGCUACUGGAGGAAUUAGAGGAGGAGAUUUAAGUGACAGAAAGGAAAAAAAGAACUUUGUGCUUUAUUCUGUCUGAAAUUGAUCCUGAAUGUUGGGGAAAAAAAGUCAUUUUUAAGUCAUUAAUCAUAAAGUUCAGUCUAUAUAUCAAAAAUUAAAAUAAUUUUUUUUUUUUUCCUUUUUGGCUAUACUAAAUGUCAAGUGACAGAUUUCUGCCUUCACAUAUCUAUUUAUGUGCCUUAGCUGGCCUAAUUAUUACCAGUGUCCUCUGGAGCCUUGAGUAAUAACUAUUAUUGGCAGCAGUAAUACUCUGCUGAAGAAAAUAUUAAUCAGGCUUAAUUCUGCUACUAAAAAAAUUUCUCAUGAUCCUUCUCUUUAACAAACUUGAAAAAAAAAUGAGUAUAUUAUGGUAGAAAAUUUGUAUUACAGAACUAAUAAAGCAAAAUUCCCUUAGAAGGGAAAGCUUGCAAAAAAAAGGCAUCUCCAAAUUUACUAAAACUAUGUACAUCUAGCUUUAACAAAGCUUAUCCUCUUGCUCAAACAGACAGGGUCAUGAAAUUCCUGGCAUAUAACAAUCCAAGAAAAGUGUGGAGAAGUCCAAGGAUCAAGCGGUGUGGAAAUGACAGCGGUGAUGGAUAUGGGCUUCCCAAACUGAUCCAUCUACUUGAGAAUUUCCCCGUGAAGUAGGAAAUAGAGAUGUGAUGCAGCUGUGUUGGUGCUAUCCCUGGACAAGGCAUCUGACCCCCUCUCUUGCACUGAGCCCCAGCCUCUUUAGGUACUGCAAGGCUACUAUAAGGUCUUCUUAGAGCUUUCUCUUCUCCAGGCUGAACAGCCCAAACUCUCUCAGGUUGUGAACACAGGAGAGGUGCCCCAGGCCUCUGAUUGUCUUCAUGGCCCUCCCCUGGACUUACUCCAAGAGGUCCAACAUAUGCCAAAUUGCAGUGGAAAAAGAACAGGAAAACUGAAAAUAUUCAUUUUUCUUCUCACAGAUAAAUCCAACAUACCCAGCUAUCAUUUAGGCUCACUAUAUGAAAUAGGUUUCUGUCUCCUCUUCUAGCAUUGAUUAUGCAGUGUGAAGAUCCAGUACAACACUACAGAUCUUGUUUUCAGCAGAGCCUGACAAACCUGCUUGAGCCCAACAGAGCAACUGCAGCAGAGACAUGGCAAUAAAUGUGUAGGACAGAGGACAGGAUGGAGAGGCAGGAAUCUUGUGGGCCAGCUAUGCAAAAAGAAAGAAAAUGUGGAAUACACCACAGUCUGUUACACAGCUCAGAGCACAAUUCCAACAUCUUUCUUAUCAGCAAUGAUACUGGAAUAAUGGCAUAAUACUGCCCAGACUGUAAAUGGAUGUUUGAGCAGAGGCAUGUUUUAUACUAUGUGGCAUUAUGCUAUCCUUUCACCAAAGCACAGAAAAACAAGGGUGGAGAAAGAUACACAGAGCUGGUAUUUUGAGCCUGAAAGAUUACAGCCAGAUUUUUCUCAACUCUGUCCAACAAAGAGCUCUAUAUUACCAGUACAGGCACUACCCUUGCACAGCAGCAUUUACCAUGUCUCACACAUAGCCAAACACCAAAGCCAGCACAGCUUUAUGCAAAGGACAAGAUGAAGGGGAAGAAAAUACAGAAAACUUCUUCUAUAAAAGUAGCUUCUGAAAACUAAGAAGCUUAAUUUGUCUGCUGCAGUCUUUAAAGGAGUAUCUCUCUUUAACAGCUAGUAAAUCUCUGAUCUGGGACUCAGCUGCUCAACGCAUAAAAAUGGCAUAUGUCGCUGAACCUUCAGAUGCCUCAGCACCUACAGAUAUUUUAAACUCUUAAGCACUCACAAAAAGUUGUGUCCAGAUGGCAUAAGACUUAAACAUAGUUUCUCUGUCUCCUUGGGACUUGAUUAUCUCCUGCCUUGUUCUUUAAAUUGCUUUCACUGUUUGUAUCUUCUAAUUUAUGUCUCUGUAAAGCAUUGUCAUUUUGGUAAGGUGAGCUAUACACACACCUGCAAGUGGCUGCAUAGGACAUAAAGUAGCAGAAGAUUAGGUCUGUGUUUCCAAUCUGUCCUGCAGAAGGGAAAACAAUCUAGAGAUGAAAGGACAAUAGGAAUUACCACCCACUAGGACAAAAGAUAAACAAAACCAUUAUUCUCCCAUCAGUCAAGAAAGCAGGAAAAAAAUUCCAGUGUGACCUCAUGCACUUCAUCUCAGAUUGCUUUUCUCAGAUUCUAAAAUGUAGCUAGCUACAUAAUGAAAGAAAGUCCAUUAAAGUGUUUUAAGGAAUUUUUCCGGAAAGCAUAUGAACAAAUGUCAUCCUGUUACCUUCAACUGAGUGCUCAGUCACUCUAGCAAACAGCAGUAAUUCACUCUAUUGCACAUUUACCUGGCACAGCAGGUACAGCAAUGCCUACAACAAUAUAGCUGAAGUGCCAGGCAUUUGCCUUAUGCACCUGAAAAGCUGGUGGGGAGGUAAUUUCUUCUCUUAGUGCAAGAGAGAAUGCUACCAGUGCAUCUCUCGUGCUGUGAGAGAAGUACUGAAAAUGUUAAUGGCUCUCAAUGAGGAAACCAGGCCAGGCUAUCAACAGCUGCCUGUUGUGCCCCUUGCACAAGGAGAGGGGAAAGCAUUCCUUUGUCUCCUGGGGUGCAUGACAGCCUCCCCAUAAAACUACAGCUGCUGGAAAAAGUUCAGGUUUGUGACUCUGUAAUGUAUCUAAUUGGUCCUUUUUUACCAUACCUGUAGUGCUGUACAUGCAGCAGUAGGCAUUUAUAGUGUUUGUGCAUAGUUCAGACACAUAUGUGCAGCUUAUAAAAUAAACAUAUAUACCAGUGCUAGUCAGACUUCCUACAUGCUGCUAAGCAAAUGGGGCUGACUCAAAGCACAACAGAUAUGAUCCCUUUCACAAGCCAUUUUACCUCAGAAUACUUUUUUGUCUCCCAUUAGAUCUAUCCCCCUUGCCAAAUGAUAUCAAUAUUUUCAUUCUCUAAAGCAAGAUAAACACAUAAAUCCCAAUUCUCCUUAUGAAGGACUUAGAUAAAAAUGGAAAAAAGGGGGGAAAAAAGCCUGCACAAGUUUGUAACAGUCAGCUUGUUCAAAAUGUACAUUUUGAAGCUGUCCUGUGAGAAAUUAUGAUACUAAAAAAAACCUGAUUCGGCUGAGUUCAUAAAUAUGACAGUUACUGUGAAACAUUAACACUAAGUGGAUCUGCUACACUGUCUACAGACCACCCUUUAUGGUGAGUUAAAGAAAAGCAUUGGGCAUCUCUGGGAUGCUCUACACAUUAUCACAGAAGCUUUUUAACAGCUGUGGGGCUACUUUGUCCAGAAGGAGAGUAUCAGAGAGCCAUGGAAGUUGUAGAAAUAUUUCAGAUACCAAAAUACCAAAAAAGAACAUCAUCAUUAUUAAAAUGGUGUGUGAUCUAAGAGAUGCAAUCUAGUGAAUAACUUUAACCAGGACCCAGAAAAGUCCAGAAAUAGAAGUGAGAAACUAGUAAGGAAGAUGAAUAGGUUAAAAGAACUCAGCACUAACUCUGCUUGAAUGGAAUCAGUGCCUUCCAGAGGAAAAAUGCACGAUGGUUUCUUUAAAAAAAGAGUACCUACAAUCCUUUUUUAUUCAUUACCUGUUUUCAUUAAUUAAACUUAUCUCAAGUUGUUGAGAAAUAAGCACUGCCUUAUUCCAAGGAUCUGUAUACAGGUUAUUAUUAUAUAGAUUACACUGAAUAAUGGGCAAGUAGGAAUAUUUCAAUCGAUACAAAUGCUAUUACAGGGCUGGGUUUUUUUCUGUCUCUGUAUAGACAGUGCCCAGUUUGGAGUGCAGCUCCCUUCCUGGGAGUCGGCAAGGAGCAGGAAUAUAACAUAUGGAGCUGUUUGUAGAAUCAGCAUUGAAAUUUAGUCAAGCAGCUUUUGUAAUUUCAAAUUUGUUCUGACCCAGCAGAGUUUUUCCUGUUCUUAAUUAAACUUAAGAUAAACUUAAUUAUCGUCACUGUAAUAGGAACCAUAUCCAAGGGUGAUUUAGCAAAAAUGAACAUGAUAAAAACUGCCUCAUCAAAAAUGGAAAAUGUUCAAAGAUGUUAACUUUCCAAAAAGAAACAGUAAACAAGUCAUCUAAGCUGUUGAAAAAUAAUGUUUUUACCUAUUUUCACAUUAUUGUGAUUUUACAAAGACUAUCUCAUAAGCAAAAUAAUAUAUUCUAUAAUGCAUUUAGCAUUGUACCCAAAAUAAUUUCUGCCUAUUGCAAGAAAGGCAGACUUUUACUUCAGCUCCACAUAAUACAUCUCUGGGAUUCUUAAGCUGCCAGGUGUUUUAUAUAACAAUCUUAUGGAAAAAGAAAAAAGAAAAAAUAUACUCUGUUCCUAUAAAAAUAGCAGGUCUCAUUAUAUUAACACAGUCAAAGCAAUCUCAUAUGCAAAAGAAAUGAAAAUAGCUACAGCAGGUUGAUAAGGAGCAACCAGUAUAGGAAACAAAAGAAGCCAACAUAAGUGAUGAAUUUUGAAUUUUGAAUAAAAUGAAAAGUUCUGAUUAACUUAAAAUUUACAGAGUCUGAAUGCCUCAGUGAUUGCCAAUGCUAUCUGACAGCAUGUGCUACAGUCCAACCUAACUUAUUGACACGAAAAAACAUUUCCAUAUUACACAUCAUGACCAGGUGGGCAAAUGUCACUGCCAG